UACGUAGGGGGCAAGCGUUGUCCGGAAUCAUUGGGCGUAAAGGGUGCGUAGGCGGCGGGGCAAGUCUGAUGUGAAAUCCCGGGGCUCAACCCCGGAACUGCAUUGGAUACUGCCUUGCUUGAGUACUGGAGAGGGAACUGGAAUUUACGGUGUAGCAGUGAAAUGCGUAGAUAUCGUAAGGAAGGCCAGUGGCGAAGGCGAGUUCCUGGACAGUUACUGACGCUGAGGCACGAAGGCCAGGGGAGCAAACGGG
rnacentral:rRNA from 1 species